AGCUAGUUGGUGGGGUAAAAGCUCACCAAGGCGACGAUCUGUAGCGGGUCUGAGAGGAUGAUCCGCCACACUGGAACUGAGACACGGUCCAGACUCCUACGGGAGGCAGCAGUGGGGAAUUUUGGACAAUGGGGGCAACCCUGAUCCAGCCAUGCCGCGUGAGUGAAGAAGGCCUUCGGGUUGUAAAGCUCUUUCAGCCGGGAAGAAAACGCAUAGGCUAAUACCCUGUGUGAAUGACGGUACCGGAAUAAGAAGCACCGGCUAACUACGUGCCAGCAGCCGCGGUAAUACGUAGGGUGCGAGCGUUAAUCGGAAUUACUGGGCGUAAAGCGUGCGCAGGCGGUUUUGUAAGACAGGCGUGAAAUCCCCGGGCUUAACCUGGGAACUGCGUUUGUGACUGCAAGGCUAGAGUACGGCAGAGGGGGGUGGAAUUCCACGUGUAGCAGUGAAAUGCGUAGAGAUGUGGAGGAACACCAAUGGCGAAGGCAGCCCCCUGGGUCGAUACUGACGCUCAUGCACGAAAGCGUGGGUAGCAAACAGGAUUAGAUACCCUGGUAGUCCACGCCCUAAACGAUGUCAACUAGGUGUUGGGAGGGUAAAACCUUUUAGUACCGGAGCUAACGCGUGAAGUUGACCGCCUGGGGAGUACGGCCGCAAGGUUAAAACUCAAAGGAAUUGACGGGGACCCGCACAAGCGGUGGAUGAUGUGGAUUAAUUCGAUGCAACGCGAAAAACCUUACCUACCCUUGACAUGUCAGGAACUUUCCAGAGAUGGAUUGGUGCUCGAAAGAGAACCUGAACACAGGUGCUGCAUGGCUGUCGUCAGCUCGUGUCGUGAGAUGUUGGGUUAAGUCCCGCAACGAGCGCAACCCUUGUCGUUAAUUGCCAUCAUUUAGUUGGGCACUUUAGCGAGACUGCCGGUGACAAACCGGAGGAAGGUGGGGAUGACGUCAAGUCCUCAUGGCCCUUAUGGGUAGGGCUUCACACGUCAUACAAUGGUCGGUACAAAGGGUUGCCAACCCGCGAGGGGGAGCUAAUCCCAUAAAGCCGAUCGUAGUCCGGAUUGCAGGCUGCAACUCGCCUGCAUGAAGUCGGAAUCGCUAGUAAUCGUGGAUCAGCAUGUCACGGUGAAUACGUUCCCGGGUCUUGUACACACCGCCCGUCACACCAUGGGAGCGGGCUCCGCCAGAAGUAGGUAGCCUAACCGCAAGGGGGGCGCUUACCACGGCGGGGUUCGUGACUGGGGUGAAGUCGUAACAAGGUAGCCGUAGGGGAACCUGCGGCUG
rnacentral:rRNA from 1 species